rnacentral:rRNA from 1 species
GUGGGGAAUAUUGGGCAAUGGGGGAAACCCUGACCCAGCAACGCCGCGUGAAGGAAGAAGGUCUUCGGAUCGUAAACUUCUAUCCUUGGUGAAGAUAAUGACGGUAGCCGAGAAGGAAGCCCCGGCUAACUACGUGCCAGCAGCCGCGGUAAUACGUAGGGGGCAAGCGUUGUCCGGAAUGAUUGGGCGUAAAGGGCGCGUAGGCGGCCUGGUAAGUCUGGAGUGAAAGUCCUGCUUUUAAGGUAGGAAUUGCUUUGGAUACUGUCGGGCUUGAGUGCAGGAGAGGUAAGUGGAAUUCCCGGUGUAGCGGUGAAAUGCGUAGAGAUCGGGAGGAACACCAGUGGCGAAGGCGACUUACUGGACUGUAACUGACGCUGAGGCGCGAAAGUGUGGGGAGCAAACAGGAUUAGAAACCCUGGUAGUCC